UCUGAAACAUAGUUGUCCUUAUGUCAGUUAUAAGUCCAGGAAGUGUUUUUUCUUGCUUCAAAGUCACAAAUAGGCCUACUGUUGGCCACAUGUUUCUAAGGGUCACAAAAGAGUUCCCAUGUAGAUCUUUCUCUUUUCUUUCCUACCUAGGCACAACUGGAGUGCUCUCUGCUACAACAGUCUCCCCUGGGAGCUCCAACUCAGAGGCCACAACUUCUAUAGGAGAAAGUGGAAAAACAGGAGCUGAAAUAAUCACAGAGGCCACAACUUUCCCAGGAGGAAGUGGAACCACCCAAGCAGGACCAACCGGAGUUACCACUGGAGAAUUGUCUGGAAUGACCUUUAUAUCUGGAAGUCCUAACACAGGUAGCUUAACAAGAAAUGCCUCUUAUUUUAAUGUCAGAUGCCAUGAUUUUUUAAAGCCUUCUCUGAU
rnacentral:lncRNA from 1 species